rnacentral:lncRNA from 1 species
UCUGAUCUCACUGGACCUUCAGAAAAUAUUAAUUCUACCAGGACACUUGUAACUAUGACUUCACUGCUGAAUUGCCAUCACACCGGUUCCUCUGACAGCCUCAAAAAGAUAUCAUCAAAUCUUUGUCACAUAAAACAGUAGAAAGAGCUGCAGCUGGAGCGCGGUGAGGUAGAGGCACACACCCCUCAUUACCUCUGUGCCUGCCUGACCUUCUUGGCUCUACCUCUCAUAGCUUACCGCAUGCCUGUUGGAGACAUGUGGGCCAGUUUGGAGCACAAGGAAGAAAUGUUGGGGAAGGUGAACUUUAGCAAAAGAAGCUAGAGUCAGUCACCUCAGUCAAUGGCAGACCUGUGAGCCUUCUUUUGUUAAUUUAUGCAAAUGGUGCUUAUUCUUAUUACAUAAAAA